rnacentral:tRNA from 1 species
GCCCAUGUAGCUCAGUAGGUAGAGCACGUCCUUGGUAAGGACGGGGUCGGCGGUUCGAUUCCGCCCGUGGGCUCCA